ACCGCCGGUGGAGGCUUCCCCAUUCGGGUUACAACGACUUAGACAUGUGGUUCUCGCAGUACCAUUGAACCUGGACCUCCCUUCACACAGCCCCUCAAUCGUGGGAAACUGAGGCGAACAGAGCUUCUAAACCCACCUCAGAAGUAUAAAUCAAUUUUCAGGACGUAUGUGAAAAGCGCAAUCUUCAGGAAGUUUCUCAAGAUAGAACACAGCUUGGAUAGAAUGUCUUGAAAUAUAUGCAAUUUUCCAAUUUCAUAUGUAAAAUGAUAUACAUAAUAUAAAAUCUAGCGGUGUUAAUUAUAAUGAUAUGUAAUUAUAUAUUUCACAUUAAUAUAUUUUAUGCCCAUGGCUAUAUUGAUUUGGGAAUAUAUAUGGAUACUAAUUAUGUUAGGAUUCAUACAAUUCCUUGAGAGGCACAAGUGCUAAAAAUUACUUGUAUGAAUUAUUUAAUAUCAUUGCAAAUAAGAUGUUAUUUUAACUUUUUUUAAGUUUCUGCAAAUAUGUUUAUUAUGACUUUUUAUUUUUAUAUGAUUGGAAAUACAUAUACUAAAAUUCCACGUUACCAGUUUCUUAACCACAGAAACCUGAAAAAUUGCCAUAGUUGAUUUGUUACUUCUACCUUGGUGCAUUUACAAAAUAGUCAUAUUUUUAUUAUGAAGUUAAAUAUUCAUUUGUUUAUAGCUACUUCAGAAGGCUCAGGUUAUUUUUUUCUUUAAUAGCACAGAGUCCUCUCAAGGUAAGCACUGUGCAGUUAGUAUAAACCAUUAUUCCCCAUGUGUACAUGAUUCACAGUUUGUAUUGUGUUCCAAGUGAACCAUAGCCCUUUCAGAAAUCAAGACUUAUAUUCAUUUUACUUCUUUGAGUACUCUUGAAUUUUAGAAAGUCCAUUAUGAUCCUAAGGUAGCAACAACAUAGCCUAUUACCGUCUAUGAUGGUUUACAGAUCUAUUAUUCCACGUUAGUUCAUCACUAUCAACUACCAUGAUAGAGUUAAGCUAAACCAUUUUCCCAACAUAUGAAAAACUCCUAUUACUAAAGUGAUACAAAUGGUAUCAAAAAUACUUUUUUAUAGCAAGGUUCAACAGUGGGCCCAGUGCUUUUACACUUUUUCAAAAGUCCUUGGAGAAACAGAGAAAAUCUCACUUGCCUUCUGUACUAAAACAUUCUAGGCCGAACUAAAACUGAAACUUCAUAGUAGAACACUGUAGGCCAGGGGUGUUCAAUCUUUUACCUUCCCUGGGCCACAUAGGAAGAAGAAGAAUUGUCUUGGGACACACAUUAAAUACACUAACACUAACAAUAGCUGAUGAGCUUAAAAAAAAAAAAAAACUCAUGAUACUUUAAGAAAGUGUAUGAAUUUGUGUUGGGCAGCAUUCAAAACCAUCCUGGGCUGCAUGUGACCCUCGGGCCCACAGGUUGGACAAGCUUGCCCUAGCUCCUCCAUCUGCUGCAAAGCCCAGCCUGAUACAAAAACCAACGUGAUAAAAAGUUUUUGUGGUGCUUUAUUUUGGCAGUUUAAGUUAUAUAAACAAUGGGUACAGUUUCAUUUUCUAAAUAUAAAAUUUUUACAUUGAAUAUGAAUUUUUAAGACAAAUUAUCUGAAUUCUGAUUCUCAUAUACCUAACUACUAAUAUCUUCUCUAUUUGUUGCCCAAUGAGAUUAAUCCACCUCUUAAACACUUCACCAUCAAGAAAAACAAUUUUGUAUUUUAAAAUGAACCCAUCCACUUUCAUUCAGCUAUUUUAUAUUCAGGCAUCAUCCUAAGGAAAGAAAGGUUCUGACAAAGAUUAAUACAGAUGGAUAAGUAGUAGCAAGAAAUCAAAAACUGCAUAAAAUUCUAGCAAUAAAGUGUUAAAUUAUGGUACAGUUACAUUCUGGAUCAUCAGGUAUCUGAAGAAUAUUUCAUAGACUGUUAAAUGAUUGCAUUAUAAAGUCAGGUUUUUUUAAAGCAAGAUUCCAAACAGUAAACAGUUUCUCUCUCUCUCUCUCUCUCUCUCUCUCUCUCUCUCUCUCACCAAAUUAGUUAUAAUGGUUUCCGCAGGAUGAGAGGGGUUGGGAAAAAGUUUGGUGAUAUUUAUUUUCUUCGUUUCACUUUUGAGUUUUCCAAAGUGCUAUGACCAUCAUCAGUAAAAUAUACAUUUCCAAAGCCUUUGACACACGGUAACAGUCCUACACAGUGGAUGAACUAAGAGCUUCUCUACCCUUAGAUGGGUAGGGAGGGAGGAAAGACAAGGAAACUGAGUUGUUUAAGUGUCAUACACGAGAACGUGGCUUUAAGGUCUGGGAAAACCUGCGAGGGCUGUGACGUCAGACUGUGAAAUGCACGCUAUGUCCAUUCACCAAGACGUUCCAUUUUAAAACCCAUAAAUCCGUAGCUAUACCUGUUUCCAAGGUGCCUCGUGUUAGGCCUCUGGUCACAGCACUUGGCGCCCUUCUUGGGAUCUCUUCUCUCCGCCCCCACUACCCCACCCCACAAGCACACUCUAGUCCCCUCCAAUCAAUUUCAGGCAGGUCUCGCCGCCUCCGGAGCCACGCUGGGGGUGCAAGGGCCCUGGACCCGAAAGAGCGCCCGCCCGGCGACAAGAGAUGAGAUGCACGCUGCUCCUCCACUCCUCAGCCCCCACCAUCCUCCUCCUGGAUCCUAACUUCCCCACUCUCUCAAUUCCUAGAGACGCUGCGGAUCCCAGAGGCUUAACUGGCAGCUGGAACGAGGUCCUCCAACAAGAAUUUAGACGCUAGGUCCAAUUAUCACUCCACCGCGCGCACUUUCCGCAGGAGCGAUGUGAUCCGUUAUCAUAACUGCGGACCUGGGGUUCCACGUGGAAGACGAUUGGGAUUUCACUGGCCGCGGUGGGGGUGGGAGCAGACAGAGUCUGAGUGGGGUUAGUGGACUCGAGACGAAAGGCAGGACAUGACAGAAGGCAACUCUGGGUCACCUCUCCAGCUUGGAACUGGCUAGGCCUUGUUUUGGAGGGGAUGGGUAGAUGAAAAGUGAGUCAGGGUUACCCGGAGGAACCACGGGGAAAGUGCGCUUCUGAGACUCUUGACAGCCAUUUCGUUCCCUUCCAAGCCAGAUGGAGACCCAAGAGUGUUGAAAGGCCACGACUUCCCUCAGUUUCUCCAUCUGGGGGUGCAGGAUGGUAUAGAGAGUGGCCCGUAGUAUUUUUCCAGUGACGAUGUCUCUCCAUUGUUUUCUUCUUAUAUUGCAGCUUUCCCCAUGUUUGAAAAUUUUCUUUUCAAAUGAAAUCAUUGAUUAGAAUAAAAAAAAGUAAGUAGCUAUUAAAACAAGAUCAAUUUCCAUGACAGUAAGCCAACCGAUGGAGAAAACCUUGGGAAUUAAUAAAUGAAGGAUUUGUUUGGUAGAUGAUAAAAGGUCCUUUUAAAGGGUCUGACUCUUCCUAGAAAAACCCACCAACUUGGGACCGCAACAGAUUUACCAUAUCCUAAUUCAUGCUAUUUUAAUGUGUAUUCAGCAAACCCACAUGUGUUUACAAUUGUCGAAGCUACCAAAUGUCAAUAGCGUUUUUUUUCUAUUUGUUGAAUGUGAAUCUCUUGUACGAAGCCAUAUAAACAGAAGAAAUUACAGGAAUGAUUUUAAAUCACAUACAAAACCAAUAGUAUUGCUAGAGGAGAGUUAGUCAAGGACGGCAUUAUGAAGAAAGUGAGGGAGAAUUUCCAAAGAGCAGAACGAUAGGGCUUGGUGGACCAAAGAACGUUUCCAUCUAAAGGGAAUGGCAAAUACUUAGAGUCUCUGAACCCACUGAAUCUUGGACUAUUUAACUAAUAUUUGUAGUUCCAGAUAUAGCACAGUGCCUUGUACAUAGUGGUAUUUUUAAAAAUAUAGUGCCUCGUAGAUUUUUUUUCAACUUUUAUUUAGGAGGAGAGGGCACAUGUGCAGGUUAAUUACAAAGGUAUAUUGCACCAUGCUGAGGUUUCGAGUACGACUGAAUCUGUCACUCAAGUAGUGAGCACAGUACCCACAGUAGGUAGUAUUUCAGCCCUCGCUCAUUCCCUUUCUCCUCCAUCUAGUAGUCCCCAAUGUCUAUUGUUCUCAUAUUUAUGUCCAAUUAGCAUUUGUUUUUUAAAAAGGGUGGUUGAAGAAAUUCUCAGUGCUUGUCAGUGUCUCUCAGUGCAUUCAUUUAAUUCAUGAGCCCUGGAAUGAUGGUUUCAUUUGGGCAGAACUCUACAAUCAAAAAGAAGUAAUAAAAGGGAAAAAAAAGUGAAAGCCAUCAACUACAGGAUUGAAAUUCCCAAAGCAUCAGAGGUCCUUUCAAAAAAUAGUAUGUUGAUUUUUAAUUUUUAUGACUUAUUGGCUUUGUUCAUGAAAAUAUAAACAUGUUAUCACAAAGGAUUUUUUAAUUCAACUAUUUCUCAGUUUUCUCUUUCACCUUCAAAAUAAAAUAUCAUAAAUUAUUUAAAUGGUUGUGAAGGCAGUAGGAUUUUUUUAAGAGAGAAAAGUUUUAUAGAGGUUCAGAAUUACAUGAACAAAGACAUGUAAUCUCUUAAGCAAAUUGAAACUAAUAAAAUCGUACAAUCAAGGUAACGUAAAUAAAAAAGCCUCUGCUUUCUUAAUUGAAUUAUGUGAGUAACUAGAAAUUUUAAAAGUAUGGCAAAGGUUAACAACAGCAUUAUUACCUGGGCUGCCUUUAAAAAUACAUAUUUCUGGGGUUCACGUUCAGAAAAUUUGAUUCAGAUUUGCUGUGGGUCCCAGAAAUCUGCAUUUUAAAUAAACACUUGAAGGAGAUACUAAUACAAGUGGCCCAUUGGGACACAAUUUGACAAAUAUGACCAAUUUUACUUUUUAAACCUUAUUUCUGCUUCUUUAUCUUUGAAUUGAGGUCCAGGAUUUUAGGUAAGAUUUUAAGUUUAGAGUCAGUUUACUGGAUCCCAGGGAGGAGAGUCUGAGUAAUCAGUGGAGGAGUUAUUUCACCAAAUGAAGGAGACCCUUUAUUAUUAUGUGACCCUUUGUAUGAAUUGGAAAAGAAUGUCUUGUAGAUACCACAUUUUUACAGUCAGAACAUAGUUUGAGAGAAAAAAAUAUAACAAGAUAUAUUUGUGUUUUAAAGCUUACAGAACCAGACAGAAAAUUUCCACAUAAGCUAUAUAAGAUACGUUGUCUUUUUAAAACACUAUAUACACUUCUUUCUGUUCGUGCAGGAUGAAUGGAUCUCUCUCUCUCUCUCUCUCUCUCUGUGUGUGUGUGUGUGUGUGUGUGUGUGUGUGUGUGUUGUAAUAAGGGGUUUCUUUCAUUUUAUGAUCCAGACCAGGCUCGUAAUAAACAUGACAACCUAAAAUUAUGUAAAAAAGAAAAAUCAAAGCACAAGUGUUUCACAGGUUUAACUUAUGCUUAUCUAAGAUCAGGGCAAGAUUGCAGGAAAAUGUAGCCAUAACAGAAUAAAGCAUUUAUGGACAAAAUGAUGGGUCUUUAUGUCUCUGUAAAAGCACAGUGAUGGGGGGGGAAAUAUAGAUGAAAAAUGUAAGCUAAAAAGUAACAAUUAUAAGAAAAACUAAAAUAUCAUGCCUUUCAAAUGAUCAUUUUUCUGCUUUUAAGCUAAAAUUUGUCUAAUAUUACACCAGUGACUUUGCUGAUGUAUUAGGAAAAAGCUUGUUUUGCUUUCUUUUCUCGAGUGCCACCAUUUUCUUGCUCUCAUUCUCUUUCAGGCUGCCAGAUCAUCUGACUCAGCAAUUGUAUAACUCUCUCACCCAAUUUAAAGAAACAGCAGCUGUCUAGAGAACAAUGACUCCCCCAGUUGAACAUCUAAUUGUUAAAUGUCCAACAUCGGACACUUUGAAUUUUACUCCAUGCAAUUUACAUGCUGAAUAGUUGAAGUUGAAUAUAUUAUAUUUAACAUUUAAUUUUUAAAAGCUUAUUGAAACUUUCUUCCUAAAUCACAUGGUAAAGUUAUUGUUUUCUUCAAAAACAAUUAGGAGGAGCUUAACAAUAAUAGGACACUUCAACUUCCAUUAUCUAAUUUAAUUAUCACAAUAUCCUUAUGUUUUCAAUGUUUCAUUUUUUCAUUUUGUAGAUCUGGAGACUGAGGCUCAGAUAGGUUGCAUGGCCUACCAAAAGUCAUUGACUAGUAAUUCAUAUAUAGUUGAACUUGGUUGCCCAUGGAGUGCUAUAAAUAUGUAUAUGGUUUCAGUUCCAUCUCUUUUAGUUAACUAUUAUUUUGAAAGUCGCUUAACCCCUUUGGGCCUCUACUAUACUCAAGCAUCAGCCGUAUAAGUCACAGUAAAUAUUUAUUGGUUGAAAGGAGGUUAACAUCUUUCAAAAAUUUAUUUUUUGACCAAAAUAAAACCAGUGAAAAAUUCUCAUAUGACUGUACAUAUAAAUUACUUAUUCCUACCUUAAUUUAAAAGCAAUAAGUGGGAUACCUAUUCACCAGCACAGGAACCACUUGAAGCGUGCAGUUGAAAGAUUACUUUCUUUAGCAUUCACAUGACCUGUGAGCAGAUUCUAUUUCUUUUGCUUAUUAGCUGUCAUGGUACCAGAAUGAAGUAUGAGAAACUCUCAGUGCUUUCAUGUUCUCAUCUGUAAACCUGAGACCCUAUGGUAGUCCCGUAAUAAGAGGUAGAUAAAAUAGUAUGUGUGAAGAGUCACUGUAAACUUUUACACAGUGUACGUUUGUCAGUUAUUAUAGUGCCUAAUUAAACUAUGCCCUUAAGAAAGCACAUUAGUUUUUUACAGUAAAUACCUACUUCAUUAUAAUUUUUCAGUGUAGCUAGAAAUUUCUAAACUCCACUUUAAAAAUAUACAUAUCAUAAUAAAAAUAUAUUUAUGUAUUCAGACUCCUGGUAUGUUCCAAGGUGUUAGGUAAAAUCAGUGUAAAUUUGCAUACUUUUAAAUUCACAUCUGUACAGAAGAUCUAUAUGGUGGCCUUUAGGGUAUACCUCUAAGCUAUUCUAGUAUUCAUAAUCAUUAAAGAGAUAUUAAGCAGUGUUUGUGAACCCCUGUUUUCUAAGACAGGAAAUCAAGGUAGCUUUAGAAAACUGGAAAAAAAGUUAUUAGUCUAUCUAUCUAAUAACCCAGAAUAAUAAUUUCCAAAGGAAUCACUGAAGAUAACUGGAUUUUUAAUUCCUUCAGAAUGGUUGUCACAGUCUGAAUAUCUGAAUCAACAGUUUUGACCAAAACAAUUUUCUAAAAAUUCUUUAGUAUAAAAAAUUAUGUGUGUGUGUGUCUGUGUGAUGAAAGGAAUGAUAGGCAGAAACAUUACUGUCAUCCUUACGACAUUCAAAAUGCCUACCUUGGAGGGUGACCUUCAGUUAUUUUUAUGCAAAUGUGAAGAAGUUAUUUAGAAGUAGGAUAUCAAAGAGUAACACAAAAUACACUAAAUAGUAUGCUUUCUUAAGGCUAAAUUGACUUGGGGGUUUUAAAUCAGUACAGAGUAAACAUACAGUAUAUUCUGUUAUCAUUGCCUUUUUGAAAAAUUAAUUAUGGAAGUUAUCAUCUUAACCGUAACAACACAAAAGAUAAAACUCUACCCUCAACCCAGAGACUCAAAGGAAAACAUGAGUGGAAAUGUUAAAUCUGUAUGUGAAAAGUGCUAAAACAUGAAUAGGAAGCAGUUACUUAUUUAAUCAAAGUUGAUUAUAUUUCAUCAAGAAGUUGAUUCCCUUGAGUGGAGUUGAAUCACAUAUCAGGUGAAGAAUGUGAUUUGGGGAAGAAUGGUCUAACACAAGAAAAUUUUCUUGCAAUCUUUAAUAAUAUCAGAGGGGAGAUUGGCUUCAGAACUCUCCUAAGUUCAGGAAAGGACACAGAAAAUUGAACAUAACAGUAAGACUAUAGAGUCCCAAGAAAGCAAGCUACUUUUAAAGGAUAGUUUUUUAGAGGGGCAAAAGGGGGACAACCAUUCUCCAUUUGAUGAGAAAAGCUUCCAUGUAGAUGGUGCCCCUGAAAUUAGAGUAUCCUAAACCAGUGUUAAACCUAUCAGUGAAACAUGAAUAUUAAACCUCCACUCCCAGUAGUGAAAACCGAAUACAUUAUUAUUUAUCUGUGACUUUCAACAUUAUCUCAGAACUCUAACAGCACAUGCGUACAUCAGCAGCAUAAGCAGAAAUGAGAUAUUAUAUAUGCUUGUGUUAGCAAUUAAAAAGGACAGCAUAUUUGAGAGGGGAAAAUCUGUCCUAUCAAGAAUGAAAAAGAGGGAGGUUAGGAAAAGUAGUUUAGAGAAAGUAAAUUUUGCAAUUCCUCAGUUUUAACUGUAGUUUCUCCAUUGUACCUUCCACUUGAAAUGCACUCCAAGCAGUGGAGGUGGGUAGCAAUGAAUGCAGAGGAAACACUGAACACAGUGACACUCUCCAGUGUCACUUCUCAUGAUUUAAUGAGGGGUUUUUUUUGGAAAUUCUUCUGUCAUAACAUGGGAAACUUUGUUACAAAGAAGCUGUUUUUUCAGAGGGUUAGAAUUCAGAGGUAGCAUCAUACCUUUUAGAAGAGAAUUUGCUUGUUGAAACCACAGAUACCUGCUAGAAUGUACAGGAAUUAAUGAAAAAUUACUCAAAAGGACAUUUAUUUUGAUGACCUAAAUGAAUAACUUCAUAGUAAAUGUCAUAUAUAUUCUCAAAAAAUUAAAAAGCACCAUUUAUUGAGAGCCUACCGUGCACCCGGAUUUUUAUAUAUCUGACAUUCUUUAUUCCUCACAGUAACCUUAUGGGGUAAAUUUUAUUUUCCCCACUUUGUGAGGUGAGGAAAUAAAGGCUCAGAAAGUUUACAUAACUUAUUCAAGCCCACAGAGCUGGUAAAUGAGAGGUCAGUUCUAUCUGAGUUUAAAGACUAGGCUUGUCCCACUUGCAUAUGUGUCAUUUCCAAAAUUAUGAUUAAGGAUAUGGUUGGCAUUUCCCGCCACCCACAUUAAGUCCAAUUAAGUAGCUGUGGCCAUAGAAAGAAUGGAGAAUGGAGAGAGGAACUGACUUCAACAGCUACAGCAAACAUUUAUUAGCUGAGUAACCAUAGCUACAUAGUUCCUCAAUAUGUACCACUCCUCCAUUUUGUUAUCUAUAAAUCAAAAUGGUGGCUUUUUAAAAAGCAGUUUUACAAUAUAUUCAAGAGCCUUCUACCCUUUGAAAAACUGCAAUACUAUUUUUAGUAGCAAUUAGAAACACCUUAAAUAUCUGACAACAGGGACAUCAUUAAGUAAAUUAUAACUUUUUCCAGUGGGAUGUGUUACAGCUGUUAAAAGUAGCAUUUAUGAAGUGUUUUUGGAGAAGUUUGGAAAAUGCUGUAAUAAGUUAGAAAAAGCUCAUUUCAAAAUUGCAUAAUAUUCACAAUGUAAAGAUUAAGCAAAGAAAAAGGAAGAAGUAUUUCAAAAUGUUAAUAAUUAUUGCUUUGUGUGGGGUAGUUUUUCAUUUUCUAUGUGCAGCUAAUUCCUUAAUUAUUUUUAAAUAUGUGAGCUUUAAUCAGGAAAGCAAAUCAUUCAAAAAUGAGGGGACUGAAUUAAGUGACUUUCAGGGGACUUUGCGUGUCUUUGAGUUCCAAAUUUCUAUCACUAUGUAUUACUACUGAAGAAUAAUCAUAGAAGCACAGUAGUUUCUGAAAAUGGAGAGUCAGUAAUCUUGGCCCAGGUUUUGCAACUUGCUCUAAAGCAGAGUCCUCAAAGAAAAGGAAGCAUUGAUGAGUUGUCCACAAUGUACUGGAUAAAUUAUCAUUAGGAAAACAUAUUGUAGUAGGGAGAGUGAGGACCUCUCAAACAGAACUGAGAACCUUAAGUUUGAACUUUUCUUUUCCUUAUUACUUAAGCACUCUGAGCUUUUUUUUUUGUCUGCAUUAUGAAGAAAGAAUAAUACUCUCUAUCCCAUGGGACAGCUGUGGAAUUAUAAAUUACACAUAUAAAACUGCUUGAUGCUUGUCACAUAGCUGGGGGUUGAAAAAAUGAUAGCCAUUAUUUUCUUGGCAACUUUUAAUGAAUUUUUUAUUAUCUCUAUUUCUUUCUGCCUAUCUCCUCUAAUUAUGUUUAUUACUUAUUUUGUUCCUCAGGAUGAGGUCAAUUCUCAAUAUCUGUGCUGUACAUAAUAUACAUAUAUACCAAAUAUGUGCAUAUAGUAUGUACAUACAUACAUACUGUGCUAAUCUUUUAGUGUUCUCAGCUGAUCAAAUAGCUACAAAUAGAUAUAAGUAAUUCGCCACAAGUAAUUUAUCAACAUAAAAAAAAUUUACAAAAAAGUUAAGGAAUAAUUGUCUCCAUGAGCUGCAAAGAUCCCUCAUUUCACAAGAGUACACCCUAGAGAUAUUUUAAUAGUAAAUUUCUCACAUAGAUUUAAAAUCACAUUUGUUUUGCACAUAAUUUAGAAAAGAUACCUGCUAUAUAAUAAGUAAUAUACUUUUAAGUUUCCUUCAAAAUAUUCUUGGGAAGAUGAUAAUAGGUACUGCUAAUUCUAUACCCAGUUAACAUUUUGGAAACUAAGGUUGAAAAUUGUGACUUAACUAUAAUUAUGCAUUAAAUCUACAACACAUCAAAGAAUUUUGCAUUUUGUACUCCUUACUAAGAUCCAGUUUGAGUAGGAAGAUAAAUUUUACAGUAAUUCUGAAUGAGGGAAGUUGGCACAGAGUUUCUAAAAGAGUACCUUCCUUAUAGCAAAUACUAAAUAAUUGUGCUAUAUUGAAUUUAAUUAAAUAGAGAAUAGUAAAAGGGAGAAAGAAACAUCCAAUGUUUUGAAACUUCUAGAGAUCUACUCCCAGGGACACAUUGUUUUUUCUUAGCAAAUCUGUUUGGAGGUCUGCUCUACUUUCUCAGAGGUCUCCCUUUCAUGCUGAAGCUAUCUUUUUUCCUUGUGGAACAUAAGUAAUUAAAUACCUUGCAAUUAUUUACCUAAGAAAGUGUUUCUUUCCCGUUUAAAAUGCUCUUACCACCCACAUUGGACUCGAUUAUCAGAAUUUUUAUCCGGGGCAGCUUCAGGAGCACUUUGGCACUUCGGGGCUAAACCACAAUCUGUUUUUACAUGUUUGUGAUUAUACCCGUUUUGUAGAUCAAGACAUUGAAGCUAGUAAAAAAAAAAAAAAGUCAUUUUUUCAGGGUAACAAAGUAGGUGGUAGAACUAGGACAGGGACUCUAAUUUCCUUACAUUAUUGCUUUUCUAAAUUAAAGGGAUGCAUGGAAUUAUUCCUCCAUUGCCUUUGCCUUCAAAUAAUUAUCUAUUGCACCCAACAUCCUAUUCUAGAACUCAUCUAUGAAGGCUUAACACAGCUGUACCUGGGAGCUCCAUUACAGGGCAUAUAUCUCGCUCUCAUAAGCUACUUCCUAAGGAAUUCUCUUUAAUUAUGGGAGCUUUUCCAGACUCUGAAAUCUUUUUUUCCUGGUAACACAAGUGUGAGGUGUCAUUUAUCAGAAUGCAUCACCCCAGUCUUCCCUCCUCAAAUGAUUACUGUAGGCUCCACUCAAGAGCUCAUCCCAGUUCAAGACCACCUUCCUCCUCCAGAGAAGCAAAUAUAUAUAUACACGUAUAUAUAUAUAUACACGUAUAUAUAUAUAUACACGUAUAUAUAUAUAUACACGUAUAUAUAUAUAUACACGUAUAUAUAUAUAUACACGUAUAUAUAUACACGUAUAUAUAUAUAUACACGUAUAUAUAUAUACACGUAUAUAUAUAUAUACACGUAUAUAUAUAUACACGUAUAUAUAUAUAUACACGUAUAUAUAUAUACGUGUAUAUAUAUAUAUACAUUUUUUUUUUUUGAGACGGAGUCUCGCUCUGUUGCCCAGGCUGGAGUGCAGUGGCGCGAUCUCGGCUCACUGCAAGCUCCGCCCCCCGGGUUCACGCCAUUCUCCUUCCUCAGCCUCCGGAGUAGCUGGGACUACAGGUGCCCGCCACCUCGCCUGGCUAAUUUUUUGUAUCUUUAGUAGAGAUGGGGUUUCACCGUGUUACCUAGGAUGGUCUAGAUCUCCUGACCUCGUGAUCCGCCCGCCUCGGCCUCCCAAAGUGCUGGGAUUACAGGCGUGAGCCACCGCGCCUGGCAGAGAAGCAAAUAUAUUGAUGGUUGUUACCAAUACAUGCUCUUGACUAAGAAACCUUCUUUCUUAAUUAAUAUUGACAACUUUAAGCCGAGUGCCUGACAUAUAUUAGGUACUCAGUUACUCUUUUUCAACUAAAGUUAUGAAUGAUGAUUCUAAUAAAAGUAACUUAUUUGUCUACUA